rnacentral:lncRNA from 1 species
GCUGCUGCCACAUAAGAAGUGCCUUUCACCCUCUGCCAUGAAUAUGAGACCUCCCCAACCAUGUGGAACUACAGAGUCUCACUCUGUCUCCCACACUAGAGUACAGGGGCACAAUCUCGGCUCACUGCAACUUCUGCCUCCUGGGUUCCAUUGAUUCUCCCGCCUCAGCCUCCCGGAUAGCUGGGAUUACAGGCGUGCGCCACCACACCUGGCCCUACAGUUUCAAGAUGAUGGGAUGACAGCAUUUCUACCUUACUCUCUGCCUGAACCAAAAUGAGGUGGCAAAGUCACAGGAACAGAAGUCCUGCUUUUGGUGAGACUACAAGACACCUGGAACCUGAAUCACAGUGUAGAAGAACGUCAGCAGACAGUGGACGCAAACAUGACCCCACAGAGCGGACAGUCUGGAGCAGCCAGUGGAUCCCUCCACAUGACCUGUGUGAAAGGAAAGGAAAAUCUCGAGACCAAACUCACCAUGCCAAAGGGAACUGAGUCAUGCAAUGCCUGCCUGCCUUCUGUUUCCAGACAGCUGUGAUCCCCAUGCCUGCGUUAUCGCAUGUCAAAUGUAGACCUACUGAGCGUGAGACAGAUGCAUGACUGGCUUUCCCCUAACUCUGUUCUUUUUUUUUUUUUUUUUUUGAGAUGGAGUCUCACUCUGUCAUCUAGGCUGGAGUGCAGUGGGGCGAUCUUGGCUCAUUGCAACCUCCGCCUCCUGGGUUCAAACGAGCCUCCUGCCUCAGCCUCCCGAGUAGCUGGGAUUACCGGCGCAUGCCACCAUGCCUGGCUAAUUUUUUUGGUAUUUUUAGUAGAGAUGGGGUUUCGGCAUAUUGGCCAGGCUGGUCUCAAACUCCUGGCCUCAAGUGAUGUGCCCAUCUCAGCCUCCCAAAGUGUUGGGAUUACAGGCAUGAGCCACCAUGCCCGGCCGGCUCCAUUCUUUACACAGGUGAAAUGUAGAUUCUCUGAGUGCUAAUCAGAGCCUCAUGAGAAUGUGGCCUCUCACCUGUUUGCCUACCCUCUUUGUUUCCCUUUUCUCCUUUCUCUUGAAACACUGAAGUCCUUAAAACCCUCUUUGGUAAAAGCACAGGACACAGAUUCUAUUGUGCCUUGAGUUUCUUUUUCCCGGGCACAUGCUCAACCUCAGCAAAAUAAAUCUCUCAGCCGAUUGGGAUCUGCCUGUCACUUUUUGUUUUGUUUUUCGAUAGGUCAUUUUAAGGACUUUAUUAGUCGCUGUUUGGUUUACAUCCAAUAAGGACAAGGGAACAACCACAGGUGCUGACCCAGGGCACGGUUGGGGCCACGCAGGACUGGUUAACGGGUAAGGACUACUUAGACCCCCAGUUCCUAGCCCCUACAGUUAGGCAGUCACUCUUUCCCAUCCAUUUACGGGUUUAGAGUUUUAAUUUAUAACAGUGGAACUGGAGAGAUUCCAGUUUGGGAACCAGGCUGACGGAAGGACAGAUGUUGAAGCAGGAUGUUUCCCUGACCUCUUUGCCCGCGGGAACUGAAGUGCGUGGGCACCAGCAGGGGCCAACUCCACUCACUUCCUGCUCCACCCCUCGUGGGAGCACAGGUGCACAUGUGCAGGAGUCGGGGUGGGUGCUUUGGGUGCGGCAAGAGCGAACUCCAUACCAGCCCUCCCGGCAGUGUCUAAAGGAGGAUGCCUGCAACCCCUGAAGCCCCAGAGGAAGUGUUACAGUGCCCUUUUAGCUUUGCCAUCCAUGGCUUAAGUGUUAACAGCUCAGCAGAGGGUCAGUGUGACAGCCUUUUGCACCCACACUUGUAGCACUUGAGUUCUUGUCUGGCGCCCAGGAGGAAUGAGGUUGCAUGAAUGACUUGAAGGUGGUAAAUGCAGGACAUUUUGUUGCUGAUGAAAGUGGCUCUCAGUGGUAAGGGGAGCUGAAAAGGGGACGAAGUGGGAAGGUAAUCUCUCUGAAGCUAUGCCAUCAAGUUGUUCCCCUGAACUCAAGCCACUUCUCUCCAACAUCCAGCUGCUUCUCCUCUCCCUGCCAGCUUAACCAGGGGUUUUUAAUGGGCACAGGACCACUGGUGAGGCGGGCCAUGGGUGGUUUUGGAAAAGGCGACAUUGGAGCUGGAAAACACAGAUGUAUGUUCUCACUUUGGGCCACAGUACGAGGUUUUGAGGCUUGAGGGUGGGGCCCUCACUGGAGACCUGCCCUCCUCUGCCCAGAACGUCCCUGCCUCCUGUCCUUAUCAAUAUUUGGCCAGGUGUCCUGGACCUUCGCUGAAACACCUGCAGUAAUCUGUGCCUGCAGCUGGGGCUGCCUCACUGCACACGACUGGGUUCCAAGGGACAGAGGAAGGGAGAGAAAGAAAGCAAGAAGAGAUGGAGGCACGAGAGCUGGGCAGGCUGACCUGCCGAGUGGCCGCGGCGGACACUGUCCUAGAGAGCCGUCCAGACUCCCAGCAGACCUUGCAUUAGCACCAGCCAUCCUGGAUCUGUUGCCCUCACCAUGCUGAACCAUAAGCAAGCCUGUUGAAGACAGACAAACAGAUGCCUGGCCUGGUCCUCCCCGCCGCCCCCUCCCUGCUGCCCCCUGGACACUUGCUGCUCCAGUGUGCACCAUGGUGAGGGCACAGGGAGGCACCACCUGCAUAGAUCUCACAACAGCACAUGGAGAGCUCUGCGCCAGGCCUUGGGUGCUUCUGGAUUCCUUGCAGCUGGUGAUUAUUUCAGGCCCGCUGCUGCCUCUAGCCAUGGCUCUUCAAUGAACUUGUAUCGGAAGAGAUUUACUACUCUAACUAGAUCUGUAUCUCAAUUUAAUGAAAAUGUUAAGGAU